GAUGAACGCUGGCGGCGUGCUUAACACAUGCAAGUCGAACGAAGCAUUUGCGACAGAUUUUUUCGGAAUGAAGUUGCUUAUGACUGAGUGGCGGACGGGUGAGUAAAGCGUGGGUAACCUGCCUUGUACUGGGGGAUAGCAGCUGGAAACGGCUGGUAAUACCGCAUAAGCGCACAAUGUUGCAUGACAUGGUGUGAAAAGCUCCGGUGGUAUAAGAUGGACCCGCGUAUGAUUAGCUAGUUGGUGAGAUAACAGCCCACCAAGGCGACGAUCAGUAGCCGACCUGAGAGGGUGACCGGCCACAUUGGGACUGAGACACGGCCCAGACUCCUACGGGAGGCAGCAGUGGGGAAUAUUGCACAAUGGAGGAAACUCUGAUGCAGCGACGCCGCGUGAGUGAAGAAGUAAUUCGUUAUGUAAAGCUCUAUCAGCAGGGAAGAUAGUGACGGUACCUGACUAAGAAGCUCCGGCUAAAUACGUG
rnacentral:rRNA from 1 species